UCAAAAUAUUACAGUAUAAUACCUUCCUCUUUUUCUUUAUUUUUAAUUUAGUCCUGCAAGUAUUAUCAAACUUGCACCACCUCCCCUAAUAGUAAAUCAUGUGAAUUAAUAGUUCAUUCAUGUGACUCAAUAGUAUAAUCAUGUGAAAAAACUAAUUACAGUAUAGUUCCUUCAACUAUACCUCCAUUUUUAAUUUAGUCAUGCAAGUAUUAUCAAUCCUGCACCAACUCCCCUAAUAGUAAAUCAUGUGAAUCAAUAGUACACACAUGCGAACACAUAGUUAUAAGCAUGUGAAUUAAUAGCAAUUAAUUACUCAUUUAUCCGGUUAAUUACCCAAUUGGUCAAUAUAACCUUCAGACAUCAAUGAUUAUCGAAAUAAAUGUCGAUUUUCACUAACACUAAUAAUUCCAACACAAUGGAACUAUCAAUUUCAUCUUUAAUCAAUACGAACUUAUUCAUCAUUAAUAUUAUAAUUCAC
rnacentral:lncRNA from 1 species